rnacentral:rRNA from 1 species
GAACAACCGGGGAGGGUCAUUGGAAACUGGGGAACUUGAGUGCAGAAGAGGAGAGUGGAAUUCCACGUGUAGCGGUGAAAUGCGUAGAGAUGUGGAGGAACACCAGUGGCGAAGGCGACUCUCUGGUCUGUAACUGACGCUGAGGCGCGAAAGCGUGGGGAGCGAACAGGAUUAGAUACCCUGGUAGUCCACGCCGUAAACGAUGAGUGCUAAGUGUUAGAGGGUUUCCGCCCUUUAGUGCUGCAGCAAACGCAUUAAGCACUCCGCCUGGGGAGUACGGUCGCAAGACUGAAACUCAAAGGAAUUGACGGGGGCCCGCACAAGCGGUGGAGCAUGUGGUUUAAUUUUAAGCAACGCGAAGAGCCUUACCAGGUCUUGACAUCCUCUGACAACCCUAGAGAUAGGGCUUCCCCUUCGGGGGCAGAGUGACAGGUGGUGCAUGGUUGUCGUCAGCUCGUGUCGUGAGAUGUUGGGUUAAGUCCCGCAACGAGCGCAACCCUUGAUCUUAGUUGCCAGCAUUCAGUUGGGCACUCUAAGGUGACUGCCGGUGACAAACCGGAGGAAGGUGGGGAUGACGUCAAAUCAUCAUGCCCCUUAUGACCUGGGCUACACACGUGCUACAAUGGGCAGAACAAAG